rnacentral:rRNA from 1 species
CACGUAGGGGGCAAGCGUUGUCCGGAAUUAUUGGGCGUAAAGAGCUCGUAGGCGGCUCGGUAAGUCAGGUGUGAAAUUCCAGGGCUCAACCCUGGAACGCCACCUGAUACUGCCGUGGCUAGAGUCCGGUAGGGGAGCGUGGAAUUCCUAGUGUAGCGGUGAAAUGCGCAGAUAUUAGGAGGAACACCAGCGGCGAAGGCGGCGCUCUGGGCCGGAACUGACGCUGAGGAGCGAAAGCGUGGGGAGCAAACAGG